AUGAAAGAUAUUGAACAACUGAGUUUCCUCGAGAGUGUCGAGCCCCCCGGCCGCGGCGCUCCUACAGGCCAGUCCCCGCCAGAGACGGUGCUCCCGGGAGGGCCUCCCAGAUUUCUGCUGCUCGCUGGGGGUUCGGGGCGUGACCCCAGGGUCCUGGGAUGGAGCCCCACGGAGCCCCCUACUCCGUCAGGCGGGGACCCUGCCUCUCCCUCUCCAUCCGCUCCAGCCGCUCACGACGUGGAAGAGGCCGGGGGAGCUGAGGCCGUGGCACCUGCCGCCCACGCCCAGCCAACACGGGCACUUGGUGCAUCUCAGGCCCACGAAAUACAGCGCAGUCACCUUCGUGGCCCUGGUCGCGGAUGUGUGGGCCGUGGCCUUGCCUGGUCGCGUAGUCCUGGUCGCUCACAGGGGACCUGCCCCGGGGCAGGGGUUCGAGGCCUGCAGGGGAGCCCCCCGAGACGGCUCGUGUGCUGGGAGUGCGGAGGAGGGGCCGGGGCUUUUCCGGGGUGGCUCACGGGCGGUGCGGCAUCGGGGGAAGCCAUCCUCGGGAUCCUGCGUCUCCUGGCUCUGUGGCCCCUCACGACGUCGCUUCUCCCGGAGACUCGCUUCCUGCGGCCAGCCGGGGCAGCAGCCGUGGCCACCACAGCUGGCACGGGGCUCCCGGGCGGAACGCGUGUGCAACGCUGGCGCCGUCCAGUCCUCACCUGGGGCCGCUUGGCUGCCGCGGCGUGGGCAGUGGCCACCGUAUCAAGGCUGUCGGUCCACAGCACACACGCUCUCAAUCCAGCACACACGCGUGUCCUGCACCGCGUGUGUACACACACAUACACACGUAUACCCGUGUGUACACAUGCACACUCACAUGCAUAUACACACGUGCACAUACACACACACGCACACACAUGUAUACAUAUACACAGACAUGUACACACAUACACACGUAUACACAUAUAUACAUAUAUACACAUAUACACACACUUUUAUGCACAUAUACACAUACAUGUAUAUACACGUAUACAUAUACAUAUACACACAUAA
rnacentral:lncRNA from 12 species